CCUACGGGCGGCAGCAGUGAGGAAUAUUGGUCAAUGGGCGGAAGCCUGAACCAGCCAAGUCGCGUGCGGGAUGACGGCCCUAUGGGUUGUAAACCUCUUUUGCAGGGGAGUAACACGCCCCACGUGUGGCGGUCUGCAGGUACCCGGCGAAAAAGGGCCGGCUAAUUCCGGGCCAGCAGCCGCGGUAAUACGGAGGGCCCGAGCGUUAUCCGGAUUUAUUGGGGUUAAAGGGGGCGUAGGCGGGCGUUCAAGUCAGCGGUAAAAUCGCGGGGCUCAACCUCGCCCCGCCGUUGAAACUGGGUGCCUUGAGUGGACAAGAGGCAGGCGGAAUGCGUGGUGUAGCGGUGAAAUGCAUAGAUAUAACGCGGAACUCCGAUUGCGAAGGCAGCAUACCGGCGCCCGACUGACGCUGAGGCACGAAGGCGUGGGUAUCGAACAGGAUUAGAUACCCGUGUAGUC
rnacentral:rRNA from 1 species